CCCCGUGCGCGGAGAGCCGGGUCCGGCAGCCGCGGAGCCGCCCCGGGCCCGAGCGUUCCGAGAGGCGGCGCCGGCGUUCCGGAGGGGCCCGCGGGUUCGGGCUCGGGCUCGGGCUCCGGCGCGGCGGCGGCGGCGGUAGCGCGGGGAUAGUAGCACAUUCUUUCUGCUCAAGAGCACCCCACCCUGCCCAAGAUCGGUUCUGCAGUUUUUCCACACGCCGGCCGAGGUCCCUAGCUCAGGGGAAAGACUGGGGCCGCCGUCCCUUUCUUCUCUUUUUCCGUUUUCCUUUUUCUUCUCCUGAGCUCUCCUGGGUCCCCUAAACCCCAGGUUCUGCAAGGGAAACCUAGGCCUCGCAAACUUCCCCACCCCAAAGCGGGCUUUCCUUUGAGCUGUGCACUGCUGAGGACGGAAUCGGCGGGUCCUGGAGCUGCGCUCUGCGCGGGAGUUGGGAGCAGCGAUCCCCGAUCAGAAACCCAUGGGCUCCCCGGGGAAGCAGAGGGUCAGAUACAUGGAGAACACAGUCACUGCUUGGAGAAUUCAUUGCUUCAAUUAGAGUUCAGAGGCUCUCUGAUCCCAGAGGCCCCCUUUUAUGGACCACUAGCAGAAGACUCGCAUCAAGGCUGCCUAGAGGGAAGGG